GGAUUGGAANUGGGGGCACCCUGAUCCAGCCAUCCCGCGUGAGNGAUGAAGGCCUUCGGGUUUCCAAGCUCUUUUGGCGGGGACGAUGAUGACGGUACCCGCAGAAUAAGCCCCGGCUAANUUCGUGCCAGCAGCCGCGGUAAGACGAAGGGGGCUAGCGUUGUUCGGAAUUACUGGGCGUAAAGCGAGUGUAGGCGGUUGCCCAAGUCAGGUGUGAAAGCCUUGAGCUCAACUCAAGAAAUGCACUUGGUACUGGGUGGCUAGAGGACCGGAGAGGAUAGUGGAAUUCCCAGUGUAGUGGUGAAAUACGUAGAGAUUGGGAAGAACACCAGUGGCGAAGGCGGCUAUCUGGACGGUUACUGACGCUAAGACUCGAAAGCGUGGGGAGCAAACAGGAUUAGAUACCCUGGUAGUCCACGCCGUAAACGAUGGGUGCUAGACGUUGGCGAGCUUGCUCGUCAGUGUCGCAGCUAACGCGUUAAGCACCCCGCCUGGGGAGUACGGCCGCAAGGUUGAAACUCAAAGAAAUUGACGGA
rnacentral:rRNA from 1 species